GAUGAACGCUGGCGGCGUGCCUAAUACAUGCAAGUCGAGCGAACGGACGAGAAGCUUGCUCCUCUGACGUUAGCGGCGGACGGGUGAGUAACACGUGGAUAACCUACCUAUAAGACUGGGAUAACUUCGGGAAACCGGAGCUAAUACCGGAUAAUAUUUUGAACCGCAUGGUUCAAAAGUGAAAGACGGUCUUGCUGUCACUUAUAGAUGGAUCCGCGCUGCAUUAGCUAGUUGGUAAGGUAACGGCUUACCAAGGCGACGAUGCAUAGCCGACCUGAGAGGGUGAUCGGCCACACUGGAACUGAGACACGGUCCAGACUCCUACGGGAGGCAGCAGUAGGGAAUCUUCCGCAAUGGGCGAAAGCCUGACGGAGCAACGCCGCGUGAGUGAUGAAGGUCUUCGGAUCGUAAAACUCUGUUAUUAGGGAAGAACAUAUGUGUAAGUAACUGUGCACACCUUGACGGUACCUAAUCAGAAAGCCACGGCUAACUACGUG
rnacentral:rRNA from 1 species